UAAGGAAUAUUGGACAAUGGAGGCAACUCUGAUCCAGCCAUGCCGCGUGAAGGAAUAAGGCCCUAUGGGUUGUAAGCUUCUUUUAGACGGGACAAAACCCCUUUACGUGUAAAGGGUUGAUGGUACUGUCAGAAUAAGCAUCGGCUAACUUCGUGCCAGCAGCCGCGGUAAUACGAAGGAUGCAAGCGUUAUCCGGAAUUAUUGGGUUUAAAGGGUGCGUAGGCGGACUAAUAAGUCAGUGGUGAAAGCCUGCAGCUUAACUGCAGAAUUGCCAUUGAUACUGUUAGUCUUGAGUACAGUUGAGGUAGGCGGAAUGUGUCAUGUAGCGGUGAAAUGCUUAGAUAUGACACAGAACACCGAUUGCGAAGGCAGCUUGCUAAGCUGUAACUGACGCUGAGGCACGAAAGCGUGGGGAGCAAACA
rnacentral:rRNA from 1 species